UUGAAAGGGAAACGAUUGAAGUCAGUCGUACUUGCGGGUAAUCAGCCUUUUGGGUGUGAUUCUGUGGAGCGUGGGGAGUUAAACGCCUUCAUGCCUGCGUAUUCGUGCACUUUGGGUGUACUUGCCCGUGUGGUAGGUUAACAUCAAUUUUGAUCAUCAUAAAAUGGCUGGAGGAAUGUAGCUUCGAUCUCGUAUUGAAGUGUUAUAGCCUUCGGCAGAUGUGAUGAUCGGGAUUGAGGAUUGCCACGGAUACCCUUCGGGGCUACCUGUCUGAUCUCUGAUUGUUGCUCUGGUGCCGAAAGCGUGCUUACGGUUAUCAAAGUCGAUGGUCAACAGGUUAGCACGGGUUAAAUUCGUUAAGGAUGUUGACGUA
rnacentral:rRNA from 1 species